rnacentral:rRNA from 1 species
UACGUAGGGGGCAAGCGUUGUCCGGAUUUAUUGGGCGUAAAGAGCGUGUAGGCGGCCUGAAAGGUCCGCUGUGAAAACUCGAGGCUCAACCUCGAGACGUCGGUUGAAACCAUCUGGCUAGAGUCCGGAAGAGGAGAGUGGAAUUCCCGGUGUAGCGGUGAAAUGCGCAGAUAUCGGGAGGAACACCAGUGGCGAAGGCGACUUCCUGGCCUGUUCUUGACGCUGAGGCGCGAAAGCUAGGGUAGCAAACGGG